rnacentral:rRNA from 1 species
UGGGGAAUAUUGGACAAUGGGCGGAAGCCUGAUCCAGCAACGCCGCGUGAGGGAUGACGGCCUUCGGGUUGUAAACCUCUUUCAGUACCGACGAAGCGAAAGUGACGGUAGGUACAGAAGAAGGACCGGCCAACUACGUGCCAGCAGCCGCGGUAAUACGUAGGGUCCGAGCGUUGUCCGGAAUUAUUGGGCGUAAAGGGCUCGUAGGCGGUUUGUCGCGUCGGGAGUGAAAACAGCGGGCUUAACUCGUUGCUUGCUUUCGAUACGGGCAGACUAGGGGUAUGCAGGGGAGAAUGGAAUUCCUGGUGUAGCGGUGAAAUGCGCAGAUAUCAGGAGGAACACCGGUGGCGAAGGCGGUUCUCUGGGCAUUACCUGACGCUGAGGAGCGAAAGUGUGGGGAGCGAACAGGAUUAGAUACCCUGGUAGUCCACACCGUAAAACGUUGGGCGCUAGGUGUGGGGUCCUUUCCACGGAUUCCGUGCCGUAGCUAACGCAUUAAGCGCCCCGCCUGGGGAGUACGGCCGCAAGACUAAAAACUCAAAGGAAUUGACGGGGUCAUAGCUG